CGCUGGCGGCGUGCCUAACACAUGCAAGUCGAACGAGAUCCAUGGGAGCUUGCUCCCGGAAGAUCUAGUGGCGAACGGGUGAGUAACACGUGAGAAACCUGCCCUGGAGUGGGGAAUAACUCGGGGAAACUCGAGCUAAUACCGCAUACCCUCGGAUGGUCGCAUGGCCGACCGAGGAAAGAUUUAUCGCUCUAGGAGGGUCUCGCGGCCUACCAGCUAGUUGGUGGGGUAACGGCCUACCAAGGCAACGACGGGUAGCUGGUUUGAGAGAACGAUCAGCCACACUGGGACUGAGACACGGCCCAGACUCCUACGGGAGGCAGCAGUGGGGAAUCUUGCGCAAUGGGCGAAAGCCUGACGCAGCAACGCCGCGUGCGGGAUGACGGCCUUCGUGGUUGUAAACCGCUUUCAGCAGGGACGAAAAUGACGGUACCUGCAGAAGAAGCCCCGGCUAACUACGUG
rnacentral:rRNA from 1 species